rnacentral:tRNA from 1 species
GGGGGUUUAGCUCAGUUGGGAGAGCGUCUGCCUUACAAGCAGAGGGUCAGCGGUUCGAGCCCGUUAACCCCCACCA